UCAUCCUCAAUCUCGAACAGCGGGUCGCCGUUGAGUAUCAGAUUUCAGCGCCACUCGGAAAGCCUCUCAAUGUGUCAGCAGCCGGUUUGUUUAGACACCUGCCAUUCUUCACGAACAGCUACAUCCACACCGGUAUUCAUAUCCUUUUUUGCAAAAGGUCACGCUUUUUCCAGCUUUUUAUCGCCUAUUG
ensembl:ncRNA T02E9.21 ncRNA